CAGCCGCCGCGGUAAUACGAAGGGGGCUAGCGUUGUUCGGAAUCACUGGGCGUAAAGGGCGCGUAGGCGGCUUUAUAAGUCGGGGGUGAAAGCCUGUGGCUCAACCACAGAAUUGCCUUCGAUACUGUAUGGCUUGAGACCGGAAGAGGUUAGUGGAACUGCGAGUGUAGAGGUGAAAUUCGUAGAUAUUCGCAAGAACACCAGUGGCGAAGGCGGCUGACUGGUCCGGUUCUGACGCUGAGGCGCGAAAGCGUGGGGAGCAAACAGG
rnacentral:rRNA from 1 species